UAAUACGGAGGGUGCAAGCGUUAUCCGGAUUCACUGGGUUUAAAGGGUGCGUAGGUGGGCUGGUAAGUCUGUGGUGAAAUCCCCGAGCUUAACUUGGGAACUGCCAUGGAUACUAUCAGUCUUGAAUACCGUGGAGGUCAGCGGAAUAUGUCAUGUAGCGGUGAAAUGCAUAGAUAUGACAUAGAACACCCAUUGCGAAGGCAGCUGACUACGCGGAGAUUGACACUGAGGCACGAAAGCGUGGGGAUCAAACAGGAUUAGAUACCCUGGUAGUCCACGCCCUAAACGAUGAUCACUCGACAUCAGCGAUAUACUGUUGGUGUCUGAGCGAAAGCAUUAAGUGAUCCACCUGGGAAGUACGAUCGCAAGAUUG
rnacentral:rRNA from 1 species